GCCUACGGGGGGCAGCAGUAGGGAAUUUUCGUCAAUGGGUGCAAGCCUGAACGAGCAAUGCCGCGUGAACGAGGAAGGUCUUCGGAUCGUAAAGUUCUGUUGAAGGGGAAAAAGAGCGGAGAGAGGAAAUGGUCUCCGAUUGAUAUUACCCUUCGAGGAAGUCACGGCUAACUACGUGCCAGCAGCCGCGGUAAUACGUAGGUGGCGAGCGUUAUCCGGAAUGAUUGGGCGUAAAGGGUGCGUAGGCGGCCUGCUAAGUCUGGAAUGAACGGUACCGGCUCAACCGGUACAGGCGCUGGAAACUG
rnacentral:rRNA from 1 species